rnacentral:rRNA from 1 species
CCUACGGGUGGCAGCAGUGAGGAAUAUUGGUCAAUGGACGAGAGUCUGAACCAGCCAAGUAGCGUGAAGGAUGAAGGCCCUAUGGGUGGUAAACUUCGUUUAUAGGGGAAUAAAAUGGUACACGGGUGGGAUUGUGUAUGUACCAUAUGAAUAAGGAACGGCUAACUCCGUGCCAGCAGCCGCGGUAAUACGGAGGAUCCGAGCGUUAUCCGGAUUUAGUGGGGUUAAAGGGAGCGUAGGGGGAUUGGUAAGUCAUUUGUGAAAGUUUGCGGCGCACCCGUAAAAUUGCAGUUGAAACUGGCAGUCUUGAGUUCAGUAGAGUUGAGCUGAAUUC